UGUCCGGCCAUAUCUUCCUCCACAGGCCUCCAAUCGACUUGAUUCCAAAAGCAAUUUUUCUCACCUUGACGUCGCCUAUAGUUUCUCUGAAGACAUCGGGGUGAAAAACGAACUGUGGAAGGAGAUGCAAGGCCGAGAAGCCGCACAGCUCGAGCUGGAAAUCGCCUCCCUUCACCGGCUGAUAUCUUCCGAUUCCGGCCACCCCAGACGACCAAGUUAGGUUCUUGGGAGCGCCUUGGGACGUAGAUGAUGCUCCCGGAAGCUUUUGCCGAGAUUUGAAGCGUGGAGGAAGAAUCGACGGUUUGAAGUUUGAAGUUACUAUUCACAGUUCGGGUUCAACCUUCCCCUUAAUUGUUGAGGACGAGAUACCGACUCAUCGCUCGAUGAAGGAACUCGUACGCGUGAACGCUUAAAUAGUACUUUUGCAGGCAAAAUUAGUUGAGGUCGGGCGUACAUGGAGUCAAGGCAUAGCCAACAGCAUUGCUUCCGCGUACUCAUUCUAUUUCUGUUUUCUUUGUUACCUAGGGGAUUAGUAUUGCUCUGAUAAUCUAUGAGAUUAAUAUUGUUUUUGGGUUGAGACUGAUAUUUGUGAAAUGGGAGUUGUGAUUUGGGGAGCAGAUGGCUCCAGGAGAAUAAGGAUGGAUGAUUUAGAAGUGUAAAUGUUUUCCUACAGGUUUUGGGUAGCCUACUUUUAGGGGAAGUUCCGCCAAAUUUUUGGUAGAAUUUCUUCUAAAGUGG